GUGGGAAGGCCCAGACAGCCAGGAUGUUGGCUUAGAAGCAGCCAUCAUUUAAAGAAAGCGUAAUAGCUCACUGGUCGAGUCGGCCUGCGCGGAAGAUGUAACGGGGCUAAACCAUGCACCGAAGCUGCGGCAGCGACACUAUGUGUUGUUGGGUAGGGGAGCGUUCUGUAAGCCGUUGAAGGUGGCCUGUGAGGGUUGCUGGAGGUAUCAGAAGUGCGAAUGCUGACAUAAGUAACGAUAAUGCGGGUGAAAAACCCGCACGCCGGAAGACCAAGGGUUCCUGUCCAACGUUAAUCGGGGCAGGGUGAGUCGACCCCUAAGGCGAGGCCGAAAGGCGUAGUCGAUGGGAAACAGGUUAAUAUUCCUGUACUCGGUGUUACUGCGAAGGGGGGACGGAGAAGGCUAUGUUGGCCGGGCGACGGUUGUCCCGGUUUAAGCAUGUAGGCGGAUGUUCCAGGUAAAUCCGGAACGUUAUUAACGCUGAGGUGUGAUGACGAGGCACUACGGUGCUGAAGUGACAAAUGCCCUGCUUCCAGGAAAAGCCUCUAAGCAUCAGGUAACAUCAAAUCGUACCCCAAACCGACACAGGUGGUCAGGUAGAGAAUACCAAGGCGCUUGAGAGAACUCGGGUGAAGGAACUAGGCAAAAUGGUGCCGUAACUUCGGGAGAAGGCACGCUGAUAUGUAGGUGAAGUGGUUUACCCAUGGAGCUGAAAUCAGUCGAAGAUACCAGCUGGCUGCAACUGUUUAUUAAAAACACAGCACUGUGCAAACACGAAAGUGGACGUAUACGGUGUGACGCCUGCCCGGUGCCGGAAGGUUAAUUGAUGGGGUUAUCCGUAAGGAGAAGCUCUUGAUCGAAGCCCCGGUAAACGGCGGCCGUAACUAUAACGGUCCUAAGGUAGCGAAAUUCCUUGUCGGGUAAGUUCCGACCUGCACGAAUGGCGUAAUGAUGGCCAGGCUGUCUCCACCCGAGACUCAGUGAAAUUGAACUCGCUGUGAAGAUGCAGUGUACCCGCGGCAAGACGGAAAGACCCCGUGAACCUUUACUAUAGCUUGACACUGAACACUGGUCCUUGAUGUGUAGGAUAGGUGGGAGGCUUUGAAGUGUGGACGCCAGUCUGCAUGGAGCCAUCCUUGAAAUACCACCCUUUAAUGGCUGGUGUUCUAACGUGGGCCCCUAAUCGGGGUUGCGGACAGUGUCUGGUGGGUAGUUUGACUGGGGCGGUCUCCUCCUAAAGAGUAACGGAGGAGCACGAAGGUCAGCUAAUCCUGGUCGGACAUCAGGAGGUUAGUGCAAUGGCAUAAGCUGGCUUGACUGCGAGCGUGACGGCGCGAGCAGGUGCGAAAGCAGGUCAUAGUGAUCCGGUGGUUCUGAAUGGAAGGGCCAUCGCUCAACGGAUAAAAGGUACUCCGGGGAUAACAGGCUGAUACCGCCCAAGAGUUCAUAUCGACGGCGGUGUUUGGCACCUCGAUGUCGGCUCAUCACAUCCUGGGGCUGAAGUAGGUCCCAAGGGUAUGGCUGUUCGCCAUUUAAAGUGGUACGCGAGCUGGGUUUAGAACGUCGUGAGACAGUUCGGUCCCUAUCUGCCGUGGGCGCUGGAGAAUUGAGGGGGGCUGCUCCUAGUACGAGAGGACCGGAGUGGACGCAUCACUGGUGUUCGGGUUGUCAUGCCAAUGGCAUUGCCCGGUAGCUAAAUGCGGAAGAGAUAAGUGCUGAAAGCAUCUAAGCACGAAACUUGCCCCGAGAUGAGUUCUCCCUGACUCCUUGAGAGUCCUGAAGGAACGUUGAAGACGACGACGUUGAUAGGCCGGGUGUGUAAGCGCAGCGAUGCGUUGAGCUAACCGGUACUAAUGAACCGUGAGGCUUAACCUU
rnacentral:rRNA from 1 species